rnacentral:rRNA from 1 species
GACGAACGCUGGCGGCGUGCUUAACACAUGCAAGUCGAACGAAGUGGCGAACGGGUGAGUAACGCGUAAUCAACCUGCCCUUCAGAGGGGGACAACAGUUGGAAACGACUGCUAAUACCGCAUACUUAAGGAGGGGAUUGUGUCUGAUUAGGUGGUGGGAGGGGGAACGGCCACCCAAGGCGUUGUUCAGUAGCCGGUCUGCGGGGAUGAACGGCCAAAUUGGGACUGAGACGCGGCCCAGACUCCUACGGGAGGCAGCAGUGGGGAAUCUUCCGGCAUGGACGAAAGUCUGACGGAGCAACGCCGCGUGAGUGAUGACGGCCUUCGGGUUGUAAAGCUCUGUUAAUCGGGACGCGGUACCGGAAUAGAAAGCCACGGCUAACUACGUGCCAGCAGCCGCGGUAAUUC